rnacentral:pre_miRNA from 1 species
AAAGUACUCCCUCCGUCCCAAAAUUCUUGUCUUAGAUUUGUCUAGAUACGGAUGUAUCAAGUCACAUUUUAGUAUUAGAUACAUCCGUAUCUAGACAAAUCUUAGACAAGAAAUUUGGGACAGAGGGAGUAGUUG